rnacentral:lncRNA from 1 species
AUGGAUGUUUAUUAUAUUCCUUUUAGAUCUCCUUUUGGCAGCUGGAUGAGAAGGGCAUGCCACCAUAAAGGAGGGAUCACUGAAACGAGGUUAAAGUUGUAUUCAAAAGCAACACCAGUGCUGUACGUUGCACGUAUCACCACUAUUGAGGGUCAAUACCUCUUCCCUGGAGUCACUGUCAGAGUUCUAGAACUGCAUUUGGGGAAAUCAAGAACUGAAUACGUUCCUUUUUUAUUUCUGCUCAUUUUCAGGGUUACGUUUCUUGAAGAGUUGGGCCUAGCAAUAUGGCAGCGCACGUUCGAUAAGAAACCCCGUAAAGCGCUGCCCCUGAGCAUUUGGGCAGCGCAAUGUGUAACAUUCCUAAAAAGCACCAUGGCAACAUGUCAGUGUUACUGCCUUCGCGGUCAGCAGUCAGAAGUCUCCAAAGCAAGAAAAUACUUGAAAUAG